AGCUGCAGGUCCGCGGCCGGACGGUAGAGGCCUCCCUUCUGAGGAGGCGGCGCGGCCGCAACCGGCUGGGGCUCCGCUCCCCAGCUCGCGGGUCCUUCCCGACGAAGUCCCUGCGCGGCCCGACCCAGUGUCCUUUCAAGCACGGAUCGCAGUGCCCAGUGGUCAAUACCCUUACUUUUAUCCAGUGUCUGCUUCAUUUAAACUUAAUCAACUCCAUCAACGAACUGGAACAGGGAAACGUCCCUGCGGUCAGAACAACUGGGUUAAGAUCUGGAGAAGACAUUGAGUUUUCCCUAUGGGGGAAGGAGGGGGAGAAAGGAAGCUAAAUGAGUUUUACUGUGCGGCGGAAGGACUACCCCAGGCACCAGUGUGGCUUCUAAUGUGAGAAAAACACGGAAUGACAAGUGUGGGAAAGAGCAAGCACUAAAUUACUGUCAGAAAAAUAAACGGAGUAGCACAGUGGUGCUCAGUGAUUUACGGGGGCAAUUAGUCACCACCCCACGGCGCUGCUGAGGACAGCACGGCAGCAGACGCGUCAGGCCUGAGAGGAAGAAGAGGCUUUGCACCGCUCUCCAGACAACUUUUCAAACAAGAGAGGAUAUUUGAGUACAUUAGGUUCCAUGUCUUCAUUCUGGGUGCCCACCCUUCACAUUAUCCAGCCAACCUAAUACAUAAACGUAUUUUUAACACAAUAUUAACCUGUUCUGUGUGUGUUAAAAAGACUCCCAACUGCAGCUUUUUUCUCUCCCACUGUCUAAAGUAGGUUUUCCCCAUUCCUUAAAUGAAACAAACAAAUAAAAAAACCUUUCCCUGCUCCCAAAUUGUCCUCCUGAUGUGUGCCUUCAGUCUGUCUCAUUUCUUCUUGCAUCUUGCUAUCAUGUUCUAUAUUUGCUUUGAGCCACUGGGUGCUAAGGAAUUUGGUCUCUAGCUCUUCUGGGAAAGUUUAGUGAGCCGGCACAAAGAGUGAUGAAUGAGGCUGCAAAACUCAGGGUAAAUGAGAAAGAUAUAUAAACUUCUGAUAUUUGUUACCAUGUUCUUUAACAUACUAUAUUCGGUGCCUAUGUAUAUGCAUAUAGCAAAAUAAACCUGCUAAGAUAUGAUAUUUGGUGUACACUCUUUGGUAGGAAGUCUUCU